AGGAUGUGUUCAACCCGCAGUUCCGAAGCUUCUCUAUUCCGUUUGUUUUGUUGCCGUUAAACGUGUGUUUUGUAGCCUAAGAGAGUUUACCCAGGAUCGGAUCCACUCUUUGCGUCCCUGGACUAGACCUCGCCGUUCUUCGUGGCCUUUCUCCGCUGGAGAUCUAUUGGCGGAUUGGAUUGUCUGACUGACCGACUGACUACCACCUUUUUGUAUACGGUUGUACCUCUCUCUGAACAAGUUACUCUGCAUCAAACCCUUGACUCAGUUCUUCUCUGAGUGCGUUAGAAGAAGGGAUCCAAUGAGGGAGUUGAGAGCAAAUGAAGAAACAAGGACGGAAGAAGAGGAAGCUAAGUAGACUAUGACAGGAUUACCACUCCGUCCUCCCAGCGAGCGCUAAGUAGACUAUGACAGGAUUACCACUCCGUCUUCCCAGCGAGCGCUAAGUAGACUAUGACAGGAUUUCCACUCCGUCUUCCCAGCGAGCGCUAAGUAGACUAUGACAGGAUUACCACUCCGUCUUCCCAGCGAGCGCUAAAUAGACUAUGACAGGAUUACCACUCCGUCCUCCCAGCGAGCGCUAAGUAGACUAUGACAGGAUUACCACUCCGCCUUCCUAAUCUGUGUAAGCGAACCUGUUCUGGGAUAUAUUUCACAUGGUACGUCUUUUGAUUGGGAUUAGCCUGGAUUAGUGGAUCCUCUUACCCCGGGAUGUGGCUCAGUACAGUUUAUCACUAACAGCCCAGGGCCUCAGCUCAGCAUCUCAGCCUCACCGCAGAGGAAAGCUGGGAAAUCCUCCUUUCUAUCACUCUGAUCAGAGUCUUUAAACUGACUUCCCAAAGAAAGCCAGAGAACACACUGGACUUCGUGGUAGUGGAAAUGCAUUCCAGGUGACUACCUCGUGAAGCUGGUUGAGAGAAUGCCAAGAGUGUGCAAAGCUGUCAUCAAAGGCAAAGGGUGGCUACUUUGAAGAAUCUCAAAUGUAAAAUAUAUUUUUAUUUGUUUAUUAACACUUUUUGGGGGGGUUUACUACAUGAUGUGUGUUAUUUCAUAGUUUUGACGUCUUCACUUAUUAUUCUGCAAUGUAGAAAAUAGUAAAAAAUAAAGAAAAACCCUGGAAUGAG